rnacentral:rRNA from 1 species
UACGUAGGUGGCAAGCGUUUGUCCGGAAUUAUUGGGCGUAGAGCGCGCGCAGGCGGCUUCUUAAGUCUGAUGUGAAAUCUCGGGGCUCAACCCCGAGCGGCCAUUGGAAACUGGGAAGCUUGAGUACAGAAGAGGAGAGUGGUAAUUCCACGUGUAGCGGUGAAAUGCGUAGAUAUGUGGAGGAACACCAGUGGCGAAGGCGACUCUCUGGUCUGUAACUGACGCUGAGGCGCGAAAGCGUGGGGAGCAAACAGG